rnacentral:rRNA from 1 species
CAGUAGCGUAUAUUAAAGUUGUUGCAGUUAAAAAGCUCGUAGUUGGAUUUCUGGUACGCUGCGCCUGGCCCGCCUACGUUAGUAGUGUGAGUGCUGGUGCGCGGUUGCCAUCCUUCAGGAGAACGUGUCUACCCUUCACUGGGCCGGAUUCGGGAUCCUGAUCUUUUACUUUGAAAAAUUAGAGUGUUUAAAGCAGGCUUUUGCUAUGAAUACAUUAGCAUGGAAUAAUAAUAUAGGACUUUGGUUCUAUUUUGUUGGUUUCUAGGACUAAAGUAAUGAUUGAUAGGGGAUAGUUGGGGUGCUAGUAUUGACCGGCCAGAGGUGAAAUUCUUGGAUUCGGUCAAGACUAACUUAUGCGAAAGCAUUCACCAAGGAUGUCUUCUUUAAUCAAGAACGAAAGUUAAAGGUUCGAAGAUGAUUAGAUACC